AUACGUAGGGGGCGAGCGUUGUCCGGAAUGAUUGGGCGUAAAGGGCGCGUAGGCGGCCCGGUAAGUCUGGAGUGAAAGUCCUGUUUUUAAGAUGGGAAUUGCUUUGGAUACUGUCGGGCUUGAGUGCAGGAGAGGUAAGUGGAAUUCCCAGUGUAGCGGUGAAAUGCGUAGAGAUUGGGAGGAACACCAGUGGCGAAGGCGACUUACUGGACUGUAACUGACGCUGAGGCGCGAAAGUGUGGGGAGCAAACAGGAUUUGAUACCCUGGUAGUCCACACUGUAAACGAUGAAUGCUAGGUGUAGGGGGUAUCGACCCCUUCUGUGCCGCAGUCAACACAAUAAGCAUUCCGCCUGGGGAGUUCGGCCGCAAGGUUGAAACUCAAAUGAAUUGACGGGG
rnacentral:rRNA from 1 species